rnacentral:lncRNA from 1 species
CCUCCCCUGUGUCCCCCCCCCCCCAAGGCCUUCCCCGGUCCCAGGGUGGCCACACAUCCCCGCCCACGGAAAGUGCCAAGAGGCGGGAGGUGCUGCAAAACUUGAGCUCCGUCAAAGGAGCACGGGGGGCGGGGGGGUGGGGGGAUGUCCGACCCCCAGCUCCCAGCCUCUCCCUCCCCGCGGGCAGCCCCCCGAAGGGGAUACUGCCGGCCGGGAUCCGGGCCUGCAACCGAGGAUGCUUCCGGCCAUGGGGGUGCACUGCCCCUGCACGAUUUGCAGAAACUCACUUUCCCACUCCAGCGCGGCCCCCCCGGGAUGGAGGGAUGCCGAUGGGGAGGGGGCCGUGCUGGUCCCCUGUCCCCCGGUCCCGCUCCAAGCGUCCCACAUCCAUCCCGGGAGAGGGGGGCGGCGGCACGGAAGGCACCGGGGAGCUGCAAAGGGAGGCAGGAGGACGGAGGGAGCGGGAGGAGGGGACGGGGGAAGAGGCGGGGAGCGAGGACGGGGGGGGGUCCCCGUGCUUGCUGGCUCCGCCCCUCCCGCCUCCCUCCCUGCUUCCAGGCGGGCGCUUUCCUCUCCACGAGCUCCCCGCCCUUCGGAGGAGGAAAGCGGCGGCGGCGGCGGGCUCCGCCUUUCCCGCCCGCCGGAGCCCACCGGGCCCCACGGGGGCUGGAGGGACGCGGCCCCUCCGCUCUGCACCUGCCCGUCGCCGAGGACCGAACCGCGGAGCCCCGGGAGAGGGGAGCCUGAGCGCGCGCGGAAUUCCCACGCCUCCCGGGAGAGGGGAGCCUGCGCGCGCGCCGAAUUCCCACGCCUUCCCACCCGGCCCGGGAAAAGGGAGCCUGCGCCCGCUCCGAAUUCCCACCCCUUCCCACCCGGCCCGGGAGAGGGGAACCUGCGCGCGCGCGCGCGGAAUUCCCACGCUUCCCCCACCCGGCCCGGGAAAAGGGGGGUGGGGGUCUUCCCCGCGCCCCUCCCCGUCCGAAGAAAAGUCUCUGACGCCCCCAAAGACGAAGCCUCCAGGUGGCUUUGACCUCCCCGAGACCGGACUGCUUAAACGAUAUGAGUUGAAAACCCGGACGCCUGAUUUGCGAUUCCGUAACUGUGGGGUUUAUGUUGUCUCCGAAACCCCCGUUUAGCCGGUGAGCCCGGGGUCGGGCGGGGGUCGUCUCUGUUGCCGAAUUGUCCAUUCCAAGCGCUCAGUAUAGUGCUGCGCACGUAGUGAGCGCUCAGUGGACGAUUGAAUGAAUGAAGGAGGUGUUCGCCUUGGCUCGGAUUCGGCUCCCGCACGCGGAUACCGCGGGACCGAAGCCCCCGCGGGGGUUCAGCAUCCUCGGGCCGUCGCCGUGGGGGGGAAGAAUAGCCUAUUUAUUUUGUUCACGAGGCUCCUUGAUACCAUUCAUCUUGAUGAUGUUGGCUUGUUCUGUCGUGUUCUGCUUUGCUGUCUCCCCCGCUUAGCCUGUGAGCCCGGCACUGGGCAGGGAUGGUCUCUAUCUGUCGCCGAAUUGUCCACUCCAAACGCUUAGUACAGUGCUCUGCACCUAGCAGGCGCUCAAUAAAUACUAUUGAGUGAAUGGACCGGCUCUUGACUGGGUUUCGGAG